rnacentral:rRNA from 1 species
UACAGAGGAUGCAAGCGUUAUCCGGAAUGAUUGGGCGUAAAGCGUCUGUAGGUGGCUUUUUAAGUCCGCCGUCAAAUCCCAGGGCUCAACUCUGGACAGGCGGUGGAAACUACCAAGCUGGAGUACGGUAGGGGCAGAGGGAAUUUCCGGUGGAGCGGUGAAAUGCGUAGAGAUCGGAAGGAACACCAGUGGCGAAGGCGGCUGCCUGGCCUAAUACUGACACUGAGGCACGAAAGCGUGGGGAGCAAACAGG